rnacentral:lncRNA from 1 species
AAGAGCAAGGGACAGACCAGUCCUGUAGGACCUCCCUCCCACCACCUUCACUCUUCUCUUCUCUCUCUCCUGUCAGCAUCUGAGUUCCUUCCUUGGUCUGCCUGCUUCCCCAUGGUGUGUUGGAAACUUCAUCCCCAGAGACACGGCCUUGGGACGUGGGAACUUAGAGGGGCGAGUGGGCCAUAAGAGCUCUGCCCUCAGGAAGAGAUUCAUCCUUCAUCGCAGGAGUGGGUUUCUGAUUAAAAAAAAAAAGGGAUAGGGUUCUCUCUCUCUCUCACCUCUCUCUCUCUUUCCCUCUCUCCCUCUCCCUCACUAUGCCCAUUAGGACACACAUAGGCUGGAAGAGAAAGGAUGAAAAAAUACAUUCCCUGGAAACGGAAAGCAAAUGGGAGCAACGGUGGCCACACUCGUGUCAGAUUAAAUGGACGUUAAGUCAAAAUUGUAAAAAGAGAUCAAGAGAGUCAUGAUGUGAGGUUGAAUGGGUGGCUUCAUCAAGAGCAUGUAACAAUUGUAAAUACAUCUUUACCAGCGUCAGAGCAUCUAAGUAUAUAAGCAAAUGUUAGUAAAUCUGAAGGGAGAGGCA